UACGGGGGGAGCAAGCGUUGUUCGGAUUUACUGGGCGUAAAGGGCGCGUAGGCGGCUUGUUGCGUCGACCGUGAAAACCCGCGGCUCAACUGCGGGCUUGCGGUUGAUACGGGCAGGCUGGAGUUCGGUAGGGGAGACUGGAAUUCCUGGUGUAGCGGUGAAAUGCGCAGAUAUCAGGAGGAACACCGGUGGCGAAGGCGGGUCUCUGGGCCGAUACUGACGCUGAGGAGCGAAAGCGUGGGGAGCGAACAGG
rnacentral:rRNA from 1 species